CAUUGUUCAAAAUCAGUUAACUACUAUUCACCACACAGAUCGUAGGAACAGUUCCCAAUCUACAACUAAAUUGCUUUGCACAAAUGCUCUCUCAGAUUCUGGUUCCAGCCAUGUGAUGUUUGAAGACGACACUCUGAUGGGUUAUGCUCCUGUGCCUAUAACUACUGUUCUAACAGAUCCUGGGCCAGCCAAGUAAUGUUUGAAGACGACACUCUGAUUGAUUCAGUUCCUGUGCCUGUCACUUCUGCCCUUCCUGAUCCUGGGUCAAACCACGCCACUGUUGAAGACGACACUAUCAUGGUUUCAGUUCCUGUGCCUGUCACUUCUGCUCUUCCUGAUCCUGGGUCAAGCCAAGCGAUUGUUGAAGACGAAACUCUGAUUGAUUCAGUUCCUGUGCCUGUCACUUCUACUCUUCCUGGUAUUUCUAAACACUAUACAGUGUCUCAAACUGUUGUUAUAUUUUAUGUUAGUAGUUGUUAUAAGUUUCAAACUCGGAACUACAGCGCAUGUAAAUACAAAGU